CAAACCAAAGCUGGCGACCGGCGCACGGGUGAGUAACACGUAUCCAACCUGCCUCAUACUCGGGGAUAGCCUUUCGAAAGAAAGAUUAAUAUCCGAUAGCAUAUAUUUCCCGCAUGGGUUUUAUAUUAAAGAAAUUCGGUAUGAGAUGGGGAUGCGUUCCAUUAGUUUGUUGGGGGGUAACGGCCCACCAGCUACGAUGGAUAGGGGUUCUGAGAGGAAGGUCCCCCACAUUGGAACUGAGACACGGUCCAA
rnacentral:rRNA from 1 species